AGAAGAUGAUAAUGAUGAUGAUGAUGAUGAUGAAGAUGGUGAUGAUGAAUAUGAUAACACAGUUGAAAUUUUUUGUGAAAAUAGAAGUUUUUUCACAACCAUUCUCAGUAUGAUAAUGAUUAACUUCGUCGUCGUCAUCAUCACCGUCAUCAUCACCAUCAUCAUCAUCAUCAGGA
rnacentral:pre_miRNA from 1 species